AAUUUUGGACAAUGGGCGCAAGCCUGACCCAGCCAUGCCGCGUGUGUGAAGAAGGCCUUCGGGUCGUAAAGCUCUUUCGGACGGAAAGAAAUCGCUCAGGCGUAUACCCUGCGCGGAUGACGUUACCCUCAUAAUAAGCACCUGCUAACUUCGAGCCAUCACCCGCGGUAAUACGUAGGGUGCGAGCGUUAAUCGGAAUUACUGGGCGAAAAGCGUGCGCAGGCGGUUGAUUAAGACAGGCGUGAAAUCCCCGGGCUUAACCUGGGAACUGCGCUUGUGACUGGUCAGCUAGAGUACGGCAGAGGGGGGUGGAAUUCCACGUGUAGCAGUGAAAUGCGUAGAGAUGUGGAGGAACACCGAUGGCGAAGGCAGCCCCCUGGGCCGAUACUGACGCUCAUGCACGAAAGCGUGGGUAGCAAACAGG
rnacentral:rRNA from 1 species